GACAGAGGGUGCAAACGUUGUUCGGAAUUACUGGGCGUAAAGCGCGUGUAGGCGGCUUGGCAAGUCGGGUGUGAAACCUCCAGGCUCAACCUGGAGACGCCACUCGAUACUGCUGUGACUAGAGUUCGGUAGGGGAUCACGGAAUUCCUGGUGUAGCGGUGAAAUGCGCAGAUAUCAGGAGGAACACCGGUGGCGAAGGCGGUGAUCUGGGCCGACACUGACGCUGUAGAGCGAAAGCGUGGGGAGCGAACAGG
rnacentral:rRNA from 1 species